UGGCAGUUCCUUGGAGAAACUAGGGGUGAUUCUAUCAUAAAAAGGGGUGGGGGAGAGUAGAUCAGGCAGACACAAUCACUGAAGGAGGAGAGUACAGGAGAUUUAGAGGAAGAAGAUCUGUGAAGAGGUUUGGGAGGAGUUAAGAAGGGAAAGCAAUCAGUCAUUUUUCCAAAGGCCAGUCUGCAGGGCUGGGACUGAGCACAGGCUGAAAUCAAGGUUGGACUACCUCUCAGCCCUUCUCAAGCCCUCCAGGCCUAGCAGUCUCCAUCUGAUCCUGUAUUGGAAAUGGGCAUGGAAGAUGCCACAACUUCUCAAGCUUUCCCUAGGAAAAGGGGUGGGUGAACUUCUGGCCUGAAGAAUCUGAGGAUGGAAGGUCAACUUUGCUCUUCUCCUGGGUUCUGGAACCAGACCUUCCUAACCUGCUCUGCUCACCUGGAGCCCCAGCCCACUGUCACCCAUGCCCUCAUCUCCAGACUCUUCUUCCAGCAACUAGGCUUGCAAAGCAGGGAUGGUGGCUUGGAGCACCAGCUUCCGUGUCAAGCAGGGCAGGCUGCACUCCCAGCGCCCUGGUGCCUCUGGCUCUCGAGGCUUGUUCCUCAUCUCUAGCUCCCUCACAGAGUUGUCCUGAGGCUCACAAUGGGAACACAUCAAUAAAUUACCUAUUGCAUUAAAAUGAGUUGUUAUUAUUGGCACAAUUGUUAUUGACGCUUAAGCCUGAAGGCAAAUAAAUGAUUUUUAGCUGCAAA
rnacentral:lncRNA from 10 species